UACGUAGGGUCCGAGCGUUACUCGGAAUUACUGGGCGUAAAGCGUGCGCAGGCGGUUUUGUAAGCCCGAUGUGAAAGCCCCGGGCUCAACCUGGGAACUGCAUUUGGGACUGCAAGGCUGGAGUACGGCAGAGGGAGGUGGAAUUCCACGUGUAGCAGUGAAAUGCGUAGAGAUGUGGAGGAACACCGAUGGCGAAGGCAGCCUCCUGGGCUAGUACUGACGCUCAUGCACGAAAGCGUGGGGAGCAAACAGG
rnacentral:rRNA from 1 species